UCUUGUUUGUUUUUAUACUACUUGAACACUAAAGUGACCCUCCAAUGUGAUGACAGUGCCAACGCUUUCUCCUAAUUGGCUCAUAAUAGUCUCUCAUAUGUAUGAACUAUGUAGGCUAUCUCUAUUUUAGAAUAAUGAGUGGGCAAUGAGAGCAUCUCCUCACUGUGUACUUUACUGACAACAGGACAACAGGGAAUACAGAGAACUGACUGAGGACGUUGUCAACUGGUGCCAGCAGAACCACUUCCAGAUCAACACUCGGAAAACCAAGGAGCAGUGAACAAAGUCAUUAAGGAAUCAUCUCAGCCUUCAUUUAACAAGCAGUUCCCAUCCAGCCGGAUGAAGGAGAGAAGCAACGUCGGCUAACCACUCACCGUUCAUCCGGAGAGCUGCUGCAAUUCCGACACCAGUGUGUGAUCGGCUUUGUGAAACAGAGCAACGGUCAGGUUUUUGGAGAGGACAGGAAAAGUCCAAGGACCAGGAUGAGAUUCCGGUCGUGAUAGAUGGCGAGCCAACCACGUUGAGGACAAUUCACCCCGAAGAAGAUACACACCCACACACUCAUACAUACGUUCCAAUUACACUCACAAGGACCUUUGAAGUUGGCUGUUGUCAACAUAACUUGAAUUCCUAAAGGGCCCUAACGAGUACUUUUAUUUUGUUUAAGUGUGCACACUAUUUAUUUAUUUUAUACUUUUUAUCCUGUACAAAUUGGACACAAUUUUUUUUACACUUUGUAACAAUACAAGAGUGGCUACUCAAAAGUU